rnacentral:rRNA from 1 species
GACGAACGCUGGCGGCGUGCUUAACACAUGCAAGUCGAACGGUGAAGCGCCUUCCUUUUUGGUGGGUGUGGAUGAGUGGCGAACGGGUGAGUAACACGUGAGUAACCUGCCCCCUUCUUCUGGAUAACCGCAUGAAAGUGUGGCUAAUACGGGAUAUUCUGGGUCUGUCGCAUGAUGGGUCUGGGAAAGAUAUUGUUUCGGUGGGGGAUGGGCUCGCGGCCUAUCAGCUUGUUGGUGGGGUGAUGGCCUACCAAGGCGGUGACGGGUAGCCGGCCUGAGAGGGUGGACGGUCACAUUGGGACUGAGACACGGCCCAGACUCCUACGGGAGGCAGCAGUGGGGAAUAUUGCACAAUGGGCGAAAGCCUGAUGCAGCGACGCCGCGGGAGGGAUGGAGGCCUUCGGGUUGUGAACCUCUUUCGCCAGUGAAGCAGGCCUGCCUCGUUUGUGGGUGGGUUGACGGUAGCUGGAUAAGAAGCGCCGGCUAACUACGUG